AGAGUUUGAUCCUGGCUCAGAACGAACGCUGGCGGCAUGCCUAACACAUGCAAGUCGAACGCCUGUAGCAAUACAGGAGUGGCGCACGGGUGCGUAACACGUAUGCAAUCUACCCUGUACAGGAGUAUAGCUCCCCGAAAGGGGAAUUAACCCUCCAUAAUAUGAUGAACCGGCAUCGGUUUAUUAUUAAAACUGAGGUGGUACAGGAUGAGCAUGCGUCUGAUUAGCUAGUUGGUAGUGUAAUGGACUACCAAGGCAAUGAUCAGUAGGGGAACUGAGAGGUUGAUCCCCCACACUGGCACUGAGAUACGGGCCAGACUCCUACGGGAGGCAGCAGUAGGGAAUAUUGGACAAUGGGUGAGAGCCUGAUCCAGCCAUGCCGCGUGCAGGAAGAAGGCCUUCUGGGUUGUAAACUGCUUUUAUCUGGGGAUAAAAAGGCCUUGCGAGGCAAACUGAAGGUACCAGAUGAAUAAGCCACGGCUAACUACGUG
rnacentral:rRNA from 1 species